AAGCGGCUGGUGAGAUAGAGUAUGUUGAAGGUGAUGAUAUCGAGAUGGGUGACAUGGACGAUAUGGAAGAUUUUGAAGGCUUUGGUGAUGAAGAUGAUGAUGGAGAUGAAGAUGAUGAUUUGGAUGAGCCAGCAACAAAGAAGCCCAAGUUACCAGGCUCCGAUUCAAGGUCAAAGAUUGGGCGCAAGUCUACGAAGGUUAUCACAGAGGUGGAAGAAGACGAGGACAGGGGUAGCAGGCAAAGGACGCGGAUGUGAUUCACCGGGCGCGGCUUCAGUAACGUGCUCGGCGUUGAUGAUAUGG